CCUGGACCUGACGAGGCAUAUCUGUAGCUGUGGUCCACGCUGUUUUAAAGUGCCUGUGGCUACUGGAAGUGGAGACUUAAGACCUGGUCCUUAAUGCUUUUACUUGAUCUACAAUGCAAUUGAAGAUAACAUGUGUCUAUUGACUUACUAUUAUUUGUUUUAGUUGAUUUUACUGAUCUGAAUAUUGAAUGUAGUAUUUAUACUGAAUUGUAAGUCAUUUCUCUUUUUAUCACUUGCUGGUCCAGAUGACUUUGCCACCUGAGACCAAAUAAACUUUGUAAACUUU